AAUUCUCAACCUAUAUACCCUUGCGGUUUGUAGGCUUGGACUUGGAGGCUUUUGCUGGCUUCGCGGUCAGCUCCUCUCAAAUGCAUUAGCUCGAUUCCUUGCGGAUCGGCUCUCGGUGUGAUAAUUGUCUACGCCGUGGUCGUGAAGCGUUUGGCGGGCUUCAAACUGUCUCCAUGAGACUCACUUUUGAC
rnacentral:misc_RNA from 1 species